rnacentral:lncRNA from 1 species
GUCUUUUUAUAAUGAAGCUCGCCUUUAUAUUUUUAUUUUACUAAAAAUUAAAUAAUAAAAAUAUAUUAUAUAUAUAUAUAUAAUUAUUUAUUUAUAUAUAAAUAUAAAUUAUAUAAAUAUAAAAUAUAUGUAUUCUAGCUGUUAUCUAGCCGAACACGAGCGAGCUGACCUCAGCUUGUGUUCGACUCGUUUAUUAAACGAGCCGAAAAAUUCAGCUCGUGUUUGGCUUAUUUACUAAAUGAGCGAUUUGAUCUUGAGCUCAUUUCGAACCGAACACGAGCUGGCUCGCGAACAGCAAGCUGAAUUGCCACCCCUACUCGACGUAUUUCAAAAACUCAUAUCUAAACCCGAAACUGACCAAUUUUCUGAAACCGAAAACCGAAUCCAAACUCGAAGACCGGAACCUUAAACAAUUAUUUCUCUUUACCAUAUUUCAAAAUAUUUUAUAUUAAAUUUAAAAUUUUAAAAUAUAAAUUCGAAUAUAAUAUUAAACUUUAUAUAUGAUUCGGGUUGGAUUCAAAAUGGAUAUAGACAAAUUUCAUAGUUGG